ACUCUGCCUUUUGAGUUAAUCUUUCCACGCACCUUGCGGCUGCAUGCAUAAAAUAACUUUAUCAGUAGUGGCCCAUAGAGGUCCAUAGGGGUGCGGCCCUUCUGGCAUUUUCCCAAAUUCCAGAUGGCCAGUUCCAGAUGGCCAGUCCGUCACUGCUUGAAAACUUGACCAGCCUCUAUGAAAAUGACAGGCCUUCGGAUGAUGUCUUCUAUCAUAUCAUGAGAGCUCCAGUGAUCCAGAAGUAAAUGAAUGAGUGCCUUUUUGUUUUCAUCAUUUGUGAGAAAACCAUUCCAAUCAAAUAUAUACACUGAGG